rnacentral:rRNA from 1 species
UGGGGAAUAUUGGACAAUGGGCGCAAGCCUGAUCCAGCAAUGCCGCGUGUGUGAAGAAGGUCUUCGGAUUGUAAAGCACUUUUGGCAGGGACGAUGAUGACGGUACCUGCAGAAUAAGCCCCGGCUAACUUCGUGCCAGCAGCCGCGGUAAUACGAAGGGGGCUAGCGUUGCUCGGAAUGACUGGGCGUAAAGGGCGCGUAGGCGGUUUAUACAGUCAGAUGUGAAAUUCCUGGGCUCAACCUGGGGACUGCAUUUGAUACGUAUGGACUUGAGUGGAGAAGAGGGUCGUGGAAUUUCCAGUGUAGAGGUGAAAUUCGUAGAUAUUGGAAAGAACACCGGUGGCGAAGGCGGCGACCUGGUCUUUAACUGACGCUGAGGCGCGAAAGCGUGGGGAGCAAACAGGAUUAGAUACCCCCGUAGUCC